GGUGCUUGCACCUGAUUGACGUUGGAUCACCAGUGAGUGGCGGACGGGUGAGUAACACGUAGGUAACCUGCCCCGGAGCGGGGGAUAACAUUUGGAAACAGAUGCUAAUACCGCAUAACACAAAAGCCACAUUGGUUUUUGUUUGAAAGAUGGCUUUGGCUAUCACUCUGGGAUGGACCUGCGGUGCAUUAGCUAGUUGGUAAGGUAACGGCUUACCAAGGCGAUGAUGCAUAGCCGAGUUGAGAGACUGAUCGGCCACAAUGGAACUGAGACACGGUCCAUACUCCUACGGGAGGCAGCAGUAGGGAAUCUUCCACAAUGGGGCGCAAGCCUGAUGGAGCAACACCGCGUGAGUGAAGAAGGGUUUCGGCUCGUAAAGCUCUGUUGUUGGAGAAGAACGUGCGUGAGAGUAACUGUUCACGCAGUGACGGUAUCCAACCAGAAAGUCACGGCUAACUACGUGCCAGCAGCCGCGGUAA
rnacentral:rRNA from 1 species